GCCGGGCGUGGUGGCUCACGCCUAUAAUCCCAGCACUUGGGAGGCUGAGGCAGGGGGAUCAUUGCGAGUUCAAGAUCAGCCUGAGCUUCAAAGUGAGCUCAAGGCCAGCUUGAACUGCACAGUGAUACCCUGCCUCAA
rnacentral:SRP_RNA from 1 species